CCGACCUUAGCUCAGUUGGUAGAGCGGAGGACUGUAGUGGGGAGUUCCUAACAGCGAAUCCUUAGGUCGCUGGUUCGAAUCCGGCAGGUCGGA
rnacentral:tRNA from 2 species